AUCAAAUUAAUAACUCAAAAGAUUUAACAAAAAGGUAUAAACUAGAUUUUCAAAGAAUUGGAUAGAACUCCAUGACAAGUUGUUGAAUUGGAGAUCUUAAGAGGAAAACAAAUCUAGAGAUACAAAAAAAAUAAAUAAAUUUUUCGAUCUACAAAAUAGAUUUUGAUCAUAAAUUUCUAGCAAAAGCAAAAAUUUAAUAUAGCAAUCUUUUAUAAAGAUUAAAGAACUUUGAUCUAUGAAUAAAAUGGAUAGCUUUUGAAGAAAAUCUUAAAGAGCUUGAGAUGAAAAAAAAAUAGAGAUAAAGAGAUGAUGACAAUACCUUAAAAAUAAAAUUGUUAUCCAUU
rnacentral:lncRNA from 1 species